GUGGUCAUAGCUCAGUGGUAGAGCACAUGUUUAACACGCACGAGGUCCUGGGUUCAGUUCCCAGUACCUCCA
rnacentral:tRNA from 1 species